rnacentral:rRNA from 1 species
UACGUAGGGGGCUAGCGUUGUCCGGAAUCAUUGGGCGUAAAGCGCGCGUAGGCGGCCAGAUAAGUCCGGUGUGAAAGCCACAGGCUCAACCUGUGAAUGCCGCUGGAAACUGUCUGGCUAGAGUCCGGGAGGGGCGAGUGGAAUUCCUGGUGUAGCGGUGAAAUGCGCAGAUAUCAGGAGGAACACCAAUGGCGAAGGCGAGUCUCUGGACGACUCCUGACACUGAGGCACGAAAGCUGGGGGAGCAAACAGG